CCUACGGGAGGCAGCAGUGAGGAAUAUUGGUCAAUGGGCGAGAGCCUGAACCAGCCAAGUCGCGUGAAGGAUGAAGGAUCUAUGGUUUGUAAACUUCUUUUAUAUGGGAAUAAAGUGAGGAACGUGUUCCUUUUUGUAUGUACCAUAUGAAUAAGCAUCGGCUAACUCCGUGCCAGCAGCCGCGGUAAUACGGAGGAUGCGAGCGUUAUCCGGAUUUAUUGGGUUUAAAGGGUGCGUAGGUGGUUAAUUAAGUCAGCGGUGAAAGUUUGUGGCUCAACCAUAAAAUUGCCGUUGAAACUGGUUGACUUGAGUAUAUUAGAGGUAGGCGGAAUGCGUGGUGUAGCGGUGAAAUGCAUAGAUAUCACGCAGAACUCCGAUUGCGAAGGCAGCUUACUAGACUAUAACUGACACUGAGGCACGAAAGCGUGGGGAUCGAACAGGAUUAGAUACCCUGGUAGUC
rnacentral:rRNA from 1 species